rnacentral:rRNA from 1 species
AUUGAACGCUGGCGGCGUGGCUAAAGCAUGCAAGUCGAACGGGUCCGCAAGGACCAGUGGCGGAAGGGUCAGUAACACGAUCGAACGUGCCCCGAGGUGGGGGAUAGCGGCGGGAAACUGCCGGUAAUACCCCAUGAUCUCUCCGGAGCAAAGGUUUACCGCCUUGGGAUCGGCGAUCGUCCUAUCAGCUAGUUGGCGGGGUAACGGCCCACCAAGGCUAUGACGGGUAGCAGGUGUGAGAGCACGACCUGCGACAUCGGGACUGAGACACUGCCCGGACUCCUACGGGAGGCUGCAGCGACGAAUCUUCCGCAAUGGGGGCAACCCCGACGGAGCGACGCCGCGUGUGGGAUGAAGCGCCUACGGCGUGUAAACCACUGUCAGGGGACAGAACCAAUGAUCGUCCCCAGAGGAAGAGACGGCUAACCCUGUGCCAGCAGCCGCGGUAAGACAGGGGUCUCGAGCGUUAAUCGGAAUCACUGGGCUUAAAGGGUGCGUAGGCGGACGACACGCCG